GACACCCUUAGCACAUCUAUAGGAAUUUGCAAAUCUAGUCACCAGCUUCUCACUUAUACCCCUGAAUGAACAGCAGCAACCUCCAAACAAAUUAUCAGCAACCUCUUGCAAGUCAAUCGAUGGCGUUUCCACAAAAUCUGUACGAGCGAAAGAGGCUAACGUUGCAGAUUGAGGUUGGGGCGCUGGUGGCGGUGCCAUGUUUCGUGCUGCCGGAAUCCAUAGCUAUAUUGCACCAGAC
rnacentral:lncRNA from 1 species